GCCUGGCUAGCUCAGUCAGUAGAACAUAGGACUCUUGAUCUUGAGAUCGUGAGUUCAAGCCUCACAUUGGGCA
rnacentral:tRNA from 1 species